CUCGUACGAUACCUCAUUCUCACACGAGCCAUCUUCUCCACCCGACCCGCGCCCUCUCCUCCUCUUUCUCGCGAUUCCCUGACGCCGAUCGCGACGGGCUCACCGCCGGCAGCAGCAGUCCUUCCCUCAUCCUUCCCUUUGCGUGAUCUACCGACACCCUCUCUUUUCCUCUUUCUCAUGUCUCUGCUCUAGAUCGCUGAUGGAGAGCCUGCUCCACUUGCGAUCUCGACUUCGUCGCACAUCGGAGGGCAAAUGUUGUCUAAUCUCAACGGAAUCGACCAUCGCCGGCUGAGAGGUCGUUUCCUUGGCGGUUCUUACGCACGAUCGGCAUCUGCUCGGCGCCUAGGUCAUCACAAGUGGCUCUCGGUCAAGAGGGGGAAACCAACCCUAGAUUGGAUCUUUCUUCUCCUCACUCACGAGCUGGGCCUCUGAUCGCCGGAAUACCUAGUCCCAGUUAUUCCCUGGCUUGACGAGGAGGAUUUGCCACAGGAAGAUCCCUACCACAGCAAUGGAUCUCAGGCAUAAACAAGUUAUUGGAUCAAUCCUUAUAGCACCAUCCCUGGUUGCAACAGCAAUUCCACCAGUGGUCACUGUGAAUUUGGGUUUCUUGUCUCCUAUGUUUGUGCCGGACCAGCUACAGAUGGUUGGGGAAACUCCAUCUUUCUCCACAGCAAACUUUGGAUUUCUUCAUCAAAGGGUGUGAAUCUAUUUUAGAUCGAGAACUUUGUUUCGAGGCGAGCGUUUCGACGUGGGAUUGAUUUAUCUAGCACGAUCGACAGAUUUAAGGCGGG